rnacentral:rRNA from 1 species
CCUACGGGAGGCUGCAGUGAGGAAUAUUGGUCAAUGGACGAGAGCCUGAACCAGCCAAGUAGCGUGAAGGAUGAAUGCCCUAUGGGUUGUAAACUUCUUUUAUAUGGGAAUAAAAUGUUCCACGUGUGGGAUUUUGUAUGUACCAUAUGAAUAAGGAUAGGCUAACUCCGUGCCAGCAGCCGCGGUAAUACGGAGGAUCCGAGCGUUAUCCGGAUUUAUUGGGUUUAAAGGGAGCGUAGGUGGGUUGUUAAGUCAGUUGUGAAAGUUUGCGGCUCAACCGGAAAAUUGCAGUUGAAACCGGAAGUCUUGAGUACAGUAGAGGUGGGCGGAAUUCGUGGUGUAGCGGUGAAAUGCUUAGAUAUCACGAAGAACUCCGAUUGCGAAGGCAGCCCACUGGACUGCAACUGACACUGAGGCUCGAAAGUGUGGGUAUCAAACAGGAUUAGAUACCCCGGUAGUC